rnacentral:rRNA from 1 species
UACGUAGGGUGCAAGCGUUGUCCGGAAUUAUUGGGCGUAAAGAGCUCGUAGGCGGUCUGUCGCGUCUGCUGUGAAAACUCAGGGCUUAACCCUGAGCUUGCAGUGGGUACGGGCAGACUAGAGUGCGGUAGGGGAGACUGGAAUUCCUGGUGUAGCGGUGAAAUGCGCAGAUAUCAGGAGGAACACCGGUGGCGAAGGCGGGUCUCUGGGCCGUAACUGACGCUAAGGCACGAAAGCGUGGGGAGCGAACAGG